AAUAUAAAGAAAAGACCUAUUUUUCAACCGUGGCCACCCUCUUUUAUUAAAAUGUCCUUAAUUUCACCGCAUAUUUGCAAAACACCUACUGAAUCUCAUCUUCAUUGUUUCUCUCGGUUCGUUUUUUUUUCAAUUCCUUUUAUUCUCUUUCUUCUUCGUACAGAUUGAUUUUCUCUACUCAGAAUUUGAGAUCUCUCUUUUGAUUUUCUCCUUCUAUACCCAAUCUGUUUCAUUCCUUAUUUAACCUGAGUUGGUGUUCAGGGGAUGUGCUUCAGAAUUCACUUAAUUCAUCCAUAUUCAUCUCUGGGGUUCGUGAAUGGGUAGGUCAUUCUCUUUGUCGAUUCAUCUCUUAAUGAAAUCCAAAUCCAAAACACACCCACACCCUUAAUACACUGUUGGCUCCCAUUCCUAAUAUCCAGAUGGAUUUAAUGGAACAUAAAAAACCAUCCGUUGCCACCUGUGAUUUCUAUUGAGGCUGACCUAUUUUAAUGCUAACAAAACAUUAGUACUUCCCCGAUGAAUAAAUAUCAAUGAUUGUUCAACCAUCUCUCCCACUUCUGUGAUGAAAGCUUGAUGUUGGUUUACAGGGAAUAAUAAACAGAGAACUAGCAAGUCCGGCGACCGUGGUGGAGGGGAGAAAGACAGAGGAUCGGUCUAAGAUUGUUAAAUUACCGAAAAUAAUUCUUCUCAAACACGUGGUUUCCAUGCGUAAAACGUGUACAAGUGCCCUUUGAGAUCAAGGCACCCAGACUUUGCAAUUGGGCCGUUUCGAGCAUCCAGUUCUCCAGAAAGGGAGUAAAAGGUUUGACAAGUGACCAUUUCCACAGAAAACACUUUUUUUUUGUGUGCAAAUGGAUUUUUUACGGGAAGAAAAUUAUUGAGUGCAAAAUUCGGUUUGGUUUGGAACAAAAUUACAGGUGCAUCGCGCAUGUGUCUACACUGGUUAUUAUAAAUAAAUCGGUUUUAGUUAGUUUAGUUAAGAUGUGGGGAUGCACGUGCGAGGAUGAUGUUGCACGUGACUAUAAGGGGGGCCAAAGCGAGAUGGGAAACCUAGAAAUGAUGAACAGACGGACAGUAGCAGGAGAGAAGGAUGAUCCUUUCCAAAACCUUCCGCUCCUUAAAAUCACACAUUGAAACUCCCAUACCCCAAAAUCAAUCAUCAACAUCCCCAUCACCAUCAUCGUGGUCGGUCUAUCUGAUUCUCUCCACCAACGCACCUCUAAAAACAUAUGUUGGUGUCACCACCAAUUUUUCUCGCCGUCUGAAACAACACAAUGGUGAACUCAAAGGUGGAGCCAAAGCAUCACGUUCAGGAAGACCUUGGAUUUGUGCAUGCAUUAUUCAAGGAUUCAAAGACCAUAGGCGAAGUUUAAGGUGGUUACACUAGGGAUACCUUUGAGCCUUAAAAAUUGCAGAGAGUGAAAACGUAGUUGUACGUGUGCACACCACUGCAGUAUCUUGUUCGCCAAAACUUCCAACUUUGUAUCGUUAGGUGAUGACCCUUGCAAAUCCUUUGGCUGAAGGACUAGCAAGAGGGAAAUUCUGUAUACAUCAAAGGAAGUACAAUCACAAUUAGUAGUCUCUCUCGCUUUCUCGUUUAACGUUUUUGUAUCUGUUCGGAGAUAUUUGCCUUUCACAAUCACAAUCAGCAAGAUGAUUUGCAUUUUUGCCUUCUGCUCAUGCUUUGCAUCUGUUUAUUUUGGUGAAGCCUGAAUAUACUGAUAUCUAUGUACAAUGAUGGAAAUAACAGGAGGUAUAAUAAUAAAUACAGAAGAUACCUAUGGUCACAAUCCUCUGUGCAUCCGUUGCUAAUGGCUUAGAAUUAGACUCCACAGAACACUAGAUAGUCUGUAGUUCUGUACCAUGACUUGUUACUUAUAAGCGACAUCACAAAAAUGAAAUUCCUCGUAAAGAUGAUUUCUUGUGAGUCAUCUUGAGUCUUACUGAUUUGGUGAACAAGCUUAGUGUUGUAGGAUAAAACAUGCUCUAAAUUGGCAUGAACUAUUUUGAACUGGAGUUCAGUUGGUAUCCAGUUUCAAGUCUCCAGGUGUAACAAAGUGGACUUGCUGGUUUUUGAGAUCUGAGCAUUAUUCUUUCCAUGCUGUCUUGGGAUCAUUGUUUCAAAAAACUCUUUGAAGCUCGCUUUUUAGCCCUUCAAUAUAAAAACGCUUCAAAACGUCCCCUUUAAUAUUUUAGGAAAAAAGAGGGCUUUAAAGCCCAAAAACAAGUCCGGAGUUUCCUUUUUUGUUUUAAUAAAAAAAAAAACCCUAAAAACUAUUAUCAACUCUCAACAAGCUACCUAUUUGGAGACUUCAAAUGUUUCACCUUCUAUUCUACAUCUUCUUCUUCUUCUUCCGUUAUAUUCUACGUUUUUAUUCUUCUGAUCUGCAAUGGCUAGCCUGCCUGCCCAAGCUAAGAAAUCUACACUACUAUUCUUCUGAUCUUACUUUCAUAUGGUUUUGUGUUAAGAAGUUUAUCUAUUUAUUUAUAUAUAUUUUUUGAAGCUACGCUUCAACAACGUUUUGAAGCUGUGCUUUGCACUUUAUUAGGAUAGCGUUUCGCUUUUUGAAACCUUGCCUGGGAUGAUCGUGACUCCAGUCUCCAGAUGCAUCAGAUUCUGAAUUCGAUUUUUUUUUAUCACAAUAGCCUUUGUUGUUAUGCAGUAUAUUGUUUAGGGACCAACAUCCACCUUUUCUAUCAUAAUCUGUUACUGAGUUCAUCUGUAUAUGAUAUUUGCGAGAUUCAUUUAUGACCAAAUGAAGAGAAGUCUCGAGUAUUUUACUCAAAA